CUACUUCUGAGGUCCAGAAGACAUCACCAAGACAACCAGGCAUCAAUCAGUCAGCAUCUUCCAACUAUCAGAGGAUGAAGAUCCAGAGUGUGUUACUGCUGUUUUCUCUAGUGGGCGUGCUGUUAGCAAGCUCACUCAAUGGAGAUAACUCUGAGAAAGAGGAUAGUUCCAUGGAGAAGUCGGAGAAUGGAGCUGUGAAAGCCAUUGCAGAAGAGGAAGCAUCACCAUGGUGGUUCGGUUUUCAUCAUCAUCAUUAUCAUCAUCAUCAUCAUUAUCAUCCUUGCUGUUGAGGUACCAGAAUGAGGUCACGGACGAUCCUUUCUUGUCUCCAUAUGGAAUCAACAUAACUAAUAUUAUUGCCCUACAUCCAUCCAUUCAUGAUUCAGGGUUAACAUGUUGUAUUGUGAUCCUCCAAUAAACUUGGCCUUUCAUGCA